rnacentral:tRNA from 1 species
GGCGGAUUAGCUCAGCUGGUUAGAGCAGGCGUUUCAUACGCGCCGGGUCCGGGGUUCGAGUCCCUGAUCCGCCA